AACGAACGCUGGCGGCAUGCCUAACACAUGCAAGUCGGACGAGGAAGCUGCUUCGGCGGUUUUCUAGUGGCGCACGGGUGAGUAACGCGUGGGAACCUGCCCUGUGGUACGGAAUAACUCCGGGAAACUGGAGCUAAUACCGUAUGCGUCCUGCGGGACAAAGAUUGAUCGCCAUGGGAGGGGCCCGCGUAGGAUUAGCUGGUUGGUGGGGUAACGGCCUACCAAGGCUUCGAUCCUUGGCUGGUCUGAGAGGAUGAUCAGCCACACUGGGACUGAGACACGGCCCAGACUCCUACGGGAGGCAGCAGUGGGGAAUUGUUCGCAAUGGGCGCAAGCCUGACGACGCAAUGCCGCGUGGAGGAUGAAGAUUUUCGGAUCGUAAACUCCUGUCGAAUGGGACGAAAAGAUUGCGGGUUAACAGCCCGUAGUCCUGACGGUACCGUUAAAGGAAACCCGGCUAACUCCGUGCCAGCAGCCGCAGUAAC
rnacentral:rRNA from 1 species